rnacentral:rRNA from 1 species
CACGGUUCCGAAGUGAUUGAUACCAAGCUUCCAGGAAAAGCCACUAAGCUUCAGUCUAGAGUUGACCGUACCGCAAACCGACACAGGUGGGCAGGAUGAAAAUUCUAAGGCGCUUGAGAGAACUCAGGAGAAGGAACUCGGCAAAUUAACACCGUAACUUCGGGAGAAGGUGUGCCCCGGUAGCGUGUAGAGACUUGCUCUCGAAGCGCGAUGGGGUUGCAGUGAAAUGGUGGCUGCGACUGUUUAGUAAAACACAGCACUCUGCAAACACGAAAGUGGACGUAUAGGGUGUGACGCCUGCCCGGUGCCGGAAGGUUAAGUGAUGGGGUGCAAGCUCUUGAUCGAAGCCCCGGUAAACGGCGGCCGUAACAAUAACGGUCCUAAGGUAGCGAAAUUCCUUGUCGGGUAAGUUCCGACCUGCACGAAUGGCGUAACGAUGGCCACACUGUCUCCUCCUGGGACUCAGCGAAGUUGAAAUGUUUGUGAAGAUGCAAUCUACCCGCGGCUAGACGGAAAGACCCCAUGAACCUUUACUGUAGCUUUGCAUUGGACUUUGAACCGGUUUGUGUAGGAUAGGUGGGAGACUGUGAAGCCGGGACGCUAGUUUCGGUGGAGUCAACCUUGAAAUACCACCCUGAUUUGUUUGAGGUUCUAACCUUGGUCCGUGAAUCCGGAUCGGGGACCGUGCAUGGUAGGCAGUUUGACUGGGGCGGUCUCCUCCCAAAAGGUAACGGAGGAGUACGAAGGUACGCUUAGGGCGGUCGGACAUCGCCCACAAAGUGCAAUGGCAAAAGCGUGCUUGACUGCGAGACCCACAAGUCGAGCAGGUACGAAAGUAGGUCAUAGUGAUCCGGUGGUUCUGUAUGGAAGGGCCAUCGCUCAACGGAUAAAAGGUACUCUGGGGAUAACAGGCUAAUUCCUCCCAAGAGUUCAUAUCGACGGGGGAGUUUGGCACCUCGAUGUCGGCUCAUCACAUCCUGGGGCUGUAGUCGGUCCCAAGGGUAUGGCUGUUCGCCAUUUAAAGUGGUACGCGAGCUGGGUUUAAAACGUCGUGAGACAGUUUGGUCCCUAUCUGCCGUGGGCGCUGGAAAUUUGAAGGGGGCUGCUCCUAGUACGAGAGGACCGGAGUGGACGAACCUCUGGUGUACCGGUUAUGACGCCAGUCGUAUCGCCGGGUAGCUAAGUUCGGAAGAGAUAAACGCUGAAAGCAUCUAAGCGUGAAACUCGCCUUAAGAUUAGAUUUCCCGGAGUCCUGAACUCCCUGAAGGGUCGUCGAAGACCACGACGUUGAUAGGUCAGGUGUGGAAGCGCAGCAAUGCGUUAAGCUAACUGAUACUAAUUGCCCGUGCGGCUUGAUCC